rnacentral:rRNA from 1 species
CCUACGGUGCGCAGCAGUGAGGAAUAUUGGUCAAUGGCCGAGAGGCUGAACCAGCCAAGUCGCGUGAGGGAAGACGGCCCUACGGGUUGUAAACCUCUUUUGUCGGGGAGCAAAUCGAGUCACGUGUGACUCAUUGAGAGUACCCGAAGAAACAGCAUCGGCUACCUCCGUGCCCGCAGCCUCGGUAAUACGGAGGAGGCCAGCGUUAUCCGGAUUUAUUGGGUUUACAGGGUGCGCAGGCGGAGGUGCAAGUCAGCGGUCACAUUGCGGGGCUCAACCCCGUACUGCCGUUGAAACUGCAUCCCUUGAGUGCGCGAGAAGUAUGCGGAAUGCGUGGUGUAGCGGUGAAAUGCAUAGAUAUCACGCAGAACUCCGAUUGCGAAGGCAGCAUACCGGGGCGCAACUGACGCUCAUGCACGAAAGCGUGGGUAUCGAACAGGAUUAGAUACCCUUGUAGUC